rnacentral:lncRNA from 1 species
GGUGCUGGGAAAAUAGAUACCUGUGCUGGGGACGGCUGAAGCAGCAAGCUCUUCCAGGGUGAAAAAAUAGAGAGACUCUGGCAAAUAGUAACCAUGAGGCCUGCUGGGACCCCAGAGAGUGAGGGCACACACCCUUUUAUGGAAGUAUUUCUGGAAAGAGCUGCCUGUCGGCUGUUGUGAACACAGAUGUGAAAGCGCACGUCGGUGGGUCUCAAACUGUCCUUCCGUUAGAGCGAAGCCUUCGUCCCCUCGGUAUUUCAGAGAGGUUAUAUAAUUAGCUCUGUUCCCGAGAAAUGGUCGAAUCGCCUCCCACUGGAAGAGUAAUGUGAGGAUGAAAAGGAAAACCGUUUACUACAUGGUACUGUAUGGGGGUGGGUGCCUGUGAGAAGGGUUCACCUCUGCUCUGACCUGGUAGCAUCGGCACCCUCUCCCCUGUCCCCUCCCCGGCCAGGUGAGCCCUCCUGUGCUGCAGGCAGGAGGCACUCAGAACAGUGUCGUGUGCUCGGGGGCCCGUGGAUUUAGCCUUGGGUCUGAUUGCCCCGGAGAUGAACGUGACCCGUUUCUUGUUGGUAAAAUCGAAUGCAGCCAGAGAAGGCUGCUGGUGAUUCAGGAGACGCAGUUAAAAUCCAGGUGUAGAAAAUGAUGCUCAUCUAAUGAAACACAGGAGCAGUACUUUGUCCUGGGAAAGAAAGGGUGGGAAAGAGCCAUUUUGCACGGUUUUGUUUUCUUGUUUGUCCUCUGGACAGGGCACAGGUCCCGUUGUCUAAGGACACCUCUGGGGUGGUUUCCUAGGAGUAAGUUCUGAAUUUGUAAAUCCCAUCUUUGAGAUACGCUGCUUUUAAUGUGAAUGGAAACAGAGGUCCCCUUUUUUAAAGCGGAAAAUAAGCGCCAGACUGACCUGUUAGCAGACACAGCUCUGCAGCCGCCCAUGGCACCCUCUGCCAGGAUGCUUCUCAUCCUCGUUAGAGGCGGAAGCGGGGAGCCUUUGACAUCUCCAGCCCAGAAACUGACUGCAGAGGGAGUGGAGGGGCGCCAAGCGUGACGGCCGGGCCUCGCUAAGACCUUUGCUGAGCUUCUUUAACGCUGCUUUUCCAGAGACCCACGGCCUGAAUACAGAAUGCAGAGUGUCAAAGAUGACACCUACUUGAUAGUCUCUGUAAAGCCAACCUUUUCCUAAAAGAAAUUUUUGACAGUUCUGAGAUGCUAAGUCAAUUUCAAUACCAGACUGUGUGGAAAAUGGAAUCCUUUUUUCUGCAAUUGAUGUGAAAAUUGAAGGCUAGCGACUACUCACUCCUUACUAACACACGGGGCAAAUAAAUAGCAUCAUGCUAUUGAGAAAAAUGCACUGGAAGACAAGCUUGGCUAAUGACAUUUACCACAACAUAGAUGGGAACUAUUCUUUCUGAAUGUUUUUAUUUGUUACCAUUAGAGGCUCUGUAUCUUUUUUACCUUAAAUAUAAUGGGUCAAGUACAUGUCAUUCCUAGAUGUAUUUUUAUCAAGCCACAAAGUAUUAUAUAAAAGUAAUUGUUUGAUUCUUUCCAACGGUCUUUGAAAGAAUUCACUGGGGAAGUGACCUCUUACAUAAUUGAAUGUUGGAGAGUUUUCUUCUGACCUAUGUUUAAUAAUAGCCGGUUUAGAAACAAAAGACUAAAAUUGGAUUAGGUUUCAUAUCAUUGUGAAAUAGCUAUGUCUCCUUAACCUUUUGACUUAACAUUUUUUUUUUUUUAGGAUGAAUGAGCCACCCAUGCUUAAGCUCAGGCCAAGCCCCAGACCAUCUGGUUCUCUUGCUUAUGCUGGGAUAUUAUUGCUCCAACAAUUCUUUCUUCUCUCUCCUGCACCACGAUGGUGGUCUUUCCCCACGAGAUCAUCCACCCUGCCCCACACCCGCCUUAGAGAAACGUCACCCCACCUGCCCUUCCAACUGCCACCUUUUACCCAUCAGAGCAAUCCCUGGGAUGCAUCUGGCUUUGCUGCUUCCAUUUUUCCUGUUCUCUUGCACACUGCCAUCCAUGAAGCCUUCAUGCCCUCGGCUCCGCAGCGCCCGUUCUCAUCGGGACCACCAGCUGCAUCCUCCUGGCGCAUCGCGCCCUCUGCCUGGGCUGCGGCAGCGCUUGGACGUCACCCCGCGCUUGUCCGCGAUCGCCCUGCCCCCUCCAUGGCUUCCUCCUUUGCCAAAUCUGGCCACGCCCGGCUUCUAGAAAUCCGAGUGCCCAAAGCUCAGGCCUCAAGCCCCUUCUCUUUUCUCUUCUCUGUGACACGGGAUGUUUACAUUCUUAGGAAGCGGAGCCUCGGGACUCGAAAGUCGGUCUGCGGGCAGAGGACACUCGAAUCACCCCCAUCCCCGGGCAGCUCCCUUGAACUCUAGCUCUGUAGAAGCUGCGUCAUCUCACGUCCCUUGAAUGCCGACCAGCUGUCUGACCCCAACGUGCUCCCCUCGUGGCUCACGUGCUCCUCCCGACUGUUCCCCUGUCUUCCUUUCUCACGAGGGGUCGCUCUGGCUUUUUCAGUGGUUAAGGUCCACAAGCCUGGGCUAACCCUUGAUGCCUGUUUUUUCCUUACAGUCCACGUCUAAUCUGUUAUGUAGAGAAGCAAAGGCCCAUUUGAUCCGUUUUGGACCCGUAUCUGUCAUCCUGGUGCUUGUCAGCGCCCCCACCCCCACCUGGGUUGGCGGCAGUUGUCCCCCCAUCACGUCCCCUCCUCCACUCUCACUUCUGCACUGUAUAGUCUGGACCCCACAGCUGGAGGUCAGGGCCUGGCCCUCCUCUCCACCCCUGGCAGCUUGGCGGGUCUUGCAGGGUCGAUGCCGAAAUCCUUGUCGCUCCUUCCUAUUUUCUCCUUCUUCCCACUUCACUCCGAGCCCCCGGCCUCUCUUCCCACAACUGCCAGGCCCAGUCAAACCUUUGACCUCGUCCAUCCCCUGCUGGCGUCCUCUUUCUCACAUCGCAGGCGAAUUCACCCUUGGACCUUUAAUAUCUUAACUCAAGCAUCCCCUUUCCAGGAGGCCUGGCCAGCAGCGCCCCCAACUUGCUCUCCUAUGGGGCACUUCCCGCCCCGCCUUUUGGCAUUCCUUUUUUCUUUUGCACCUGCCACCCCCUAACAUAUGCUCUAUCCUGCUUACUUGGUUUCAUAAGAAGGUGACAGUGGGAGGCUCUGGUAACCCUUUAACUUGCUAUAUUGCAGAUUGCCUGGGGCAUCAUCGGUGCCCAGUGACUGUGAUAGGCUGGCAUGCCUGGCCGCCCCCAGGGCACCCCCAGCUCCACUGUGCAAGGCUGCCCGCGGUGCCCUGCACACCUCCCAAGCAGAGUUUCUUCAGCUUCCAUCAGACCACUGCCCUGAACCCUUGUCUCCUGAUCUGCUUCUGGCAAAACCCAGACUCAGAUAAGGGGUCUGUUGCAUGAACAGAUAUACAAGUAAAUAAAAUUGCCAGAGUGAGAGGCAACAGUGCAGGUGAGGAAUUUCUUCCUGGAGUCUUUUGGUGGUUUAUGAGCAGUGACCGCACCAGGGCAGGGCUGGUGCUUGUUCUCGCCUUUGGGAGAUGAUGUCACUUCUGAGUCGCCUGUGACUGAAGAGCUGGUCCCCAGAGAGCAAGCCUUUUCAUGCUCCUAGAGCUGCAUCGUGUUCUUCGGCCUUCUGGGGAGGUGACCAUUUUCCCUGCUCCCAGUAGCCGUCAUUGAUUUAAGUAUUUUCUAUUACAUCAGACUUGCAAACAAGAGAGGACUUGACUUCCAAGUUAAAUCUCUCACGUCAGGCAGGCCCCGACCUUCAGGCCAGGGGUUGUGCAGUUGAGAGGUCAUCAAUGCAAACAAGGAAUGCACGUUAGCAUCGCCCUAUUCAUGUCUUCCUGCACCUCAAAAGUCAGGCUCUAGUUGAUUCUGUCCCUUGAAGAAGGUAGAACCUUGGUUUUACUCUUCACAAUUCUCUGAACGCCCUGGUCCCUGGCCUCCCGCUUCUGGAGGCCACGCCCCCCAGGGCUUAGUUUACAGACAGCCUCACCCCUAGGUGGCGCUCUGGAGCUUCCCCCUUUUCCCUCCCAGCUCCAGGGGGCUGGGAUGGUCCUGGCUCUUCAGUGAGGACCAGGCUGGGAGCAGCUCACCUCCUUCGUUUCUCCUGCUGCAACGUCUGUAACGUCUGCAAUAUAACUUACCUUUCUUCUAGACUGGAAACAUCAUCUUCUCUCUCUCUCUCUCUCUCUCUCUCUCUCUCUCUCUCCCACACACACACAUGAUGAUCUUUGGAUUUAUGUAACAAUUCCAGUCCUUCACAAGAAAGAAACUAAAGAAACAACUUCUUAUUCUCUGUCCACACCAAGGAACAGAGACCUUGAAAUGAACGGAACUGAUACAAACUGCCUGGAACGUAUCCCUGCUUUCUGUACCAAGCUCCCUCCCGUCUCUGCCCUUCCAGUGAAGGCAGAGGGCUGUCCAUCCGAAACUACUUCUUGGCCCUGCUUUGAUUUGGGGGGUGACAGGGUGGUCGUUAUGACCUGUCCAGGGAGAAGAGCCUCCGCAGGGAGCCCGCGUCCCCUGUCGGUGAGCUGUCCCAGAGCGGUAUUCUCAGUAACCCUUUAACCUCAUCAUCUACCCUGCAGGCAGGUGCUCUUAGCCCCAUUUUAUGGAUGAAGAAACGGAACACACAGGUGGGAGAGGUGAGCUAGGUCCUGAGCCACACAAGUGGGUGAGGGUAGAGUCACUGUGUCUGGACGCCAGUCCCCCUCCAGGGCCACAGUCCUACCCUCUGCUGGGCCACCUGGGCCUCCUCGGCCUCUUCUCGUGGAUUCUGCAGCCCCCGGCCUGUGUGGGAGCCGAGAGGUCCAUGGAGGUCAUCGCCUGCCGUGGCUGCUGUGUGCUCUGGGGAUGUGGAACUGAGUACCUUUGGGACCUGGCUUUUGUCCCCGUUUGAUUGCUGCUGCUGCCUGUCUGUGGUCCUUUCUCUCCCCAACAUAACUCUUAAAGGCUCAGGAAUUUUGUUAAAAACUUACCCACCGCCACAUCCCCUUGUCCACAGCUGACCCUCAAAGCUGUCUGUACCGUGCGUGGUACAGACACACCAGGGACGGUGAUCUUCGAAGGGCCAGCUCUCUGCCCGCUGGCCUCUCUCAGGGCAGCCCCAUGGUCCUGCGAGGGCUCAGACCGCUUCCUGGUUCCACAUCUCAUUUUUCCCUUCCCUUGCGACACACCUUGUACCUCCGAUCUGGCUCCGCCGCUGCUGUUUCAUGGAUUUCCUCCUAUCGAAACCAUCGUGAGGCCGUUCUUCCUUUCCUGAGAGUAGGUUCACAGCCUCCACGUCCUUUGCCAGCCCUCUGGUGUUCCCUGGAGCCCGGCUGGCUCUCCCACGCCCCACCCCUGCCGCCCAGCCCCGCACCUGCCUGGUCCUGGGAUGUGCUCCGCGCCCGGCCCCGCCCUGGCAGGCUGUUCCAGCUCUGGGUCUGGGAUCCUCGUCUCUGGCCUUGGCAGCUUCCCACAGCUGCUUGCAGGGAAAUAAUUAAUCAAACUCCUGCCUUUAUCACUGAUUUUAGCCCCUCAAGAUGCUUUCUAGAAUUUCAGGUUUCUUUUCUUUCCUUUUUAUCUCCUUUUUUUAGAAUAGAUGGCUGAAAACAUUUGAAGUUGAGAAAAUGAUAGCAUUCACUUAAUGGAUCUCAGCAGACGAUGAUUCUGGAACAGGUUUAAGAAAGUAAAGCCACUGUCGCUAGGUUCUGUAACGGGGUGGCGGUUCCCCUUCGGUGUCUUGCUAGACCCUCGCAACUGCUGCUCGGCAGUGGCAAAGGUGGAUGAUCACUGGUGUAGAAAACUGUCCUUUGCGGAGUUCCUGUCGUGGCGCAGUGGUUAACGAAUCCGACUAGGAACCAUGAGGUUGCGGGUUCGGUCCCUGCCCUUGCUCAGUGGGUUAACGAUCCGGCGUUGCCGUGAGCUGUGGUGUAGGUUGCAGACGCGGCU